AGUUUUUCAAUCAAAUAGUUCAGUAGUCAAAUAACUUUCAUAUCAAAAUUUGUAAUUUAGAUAAUUUAAGCACGUUGAUCGAUUUUCCCAAGUGCCUCGACUUGGUUCUCGAUGGCUUGGUCUAAAACAAAUCGGAAAUUAUUAAAGGGCAUUUGUGGAAAUGGAGCGCAGGAAACUUGCAAAGAGCAUUAGGGCAAAGGAAAGUAAAAAUAACCUCAAGUGCAACAUUUUGACGAAGACGCGCAACCAAGUGCCGGGCCCCGGUGCCCAGAGUCAGAUUCUCAUUCAGAGCCCGUACCAGAAUCCAAGGCCUGGCUAAAUGUUCUAUAGCAAAUACAAAUGAUGUUCGGCAAUUUGGGAGCCCAUUUCCCAGCUUAACCCUUCGAGGAAAGCCCCUCUAUGUCUAGAGGGGUUCACUUUGUUGAAGGUUCCAAACUGGUCCGCUGUGAUAUCUGUGUGUGUGUGUGCAAGUGUAUGUAUGGAAAACUUCGGAAAACUUUCUUGUGGGGACGCAAUUGGCUGUGAUACCCUCACCAGAGUUACAUAAACUUGGCAACAUGGUUUGGAAGCGAAACUAGGAAACUAGCUAAA